AACCCAUGGUUUGGGCAUUUUCUCAACAUCAUUUUAAAUCUCUCCCAUGUAUCACAAAAGGCUUCAUCUGCUCCUUGUCUGAACAUAGAAAUAUCAGACUUUGCCU
rnacentral:snoRNA from 1 species